rnacentral:rRNA from 1 species
CGGCCGCGUCGACAUGACCCCGUGCUUGCACGGGUGAUUAGUGGCGAACGGGUGAGUAACACGUGAGUAACCUGCCCUUGACUCUGGGAUAAGCCUGGGAAACUGGGUCUAAUACUGGAUAUGCACCGUGAACCGCAUGGUUUUUGGUGGAAAGAUUUAUUGGUCAAGGAUGGACUCGCGGCCUAUCAGCUUGUUGGUGAGGUAAUGGCUCACCAAGGCGACGACGGGUAGCCGGCCUGAGAGGGUGACCGGCCACACUGGGACUGAGACACGGCCCAGACUCCUACGGGAGGCAGCAGUGGGGAAUUUUCCGC